rnacentral:tRNA from 1 species
GCGCUUUUAUUCUAGCUCAAGCGGAUAGAGCAGCGGUUUCCUAAACCGCGUGUCGGUGGUUCGAGUCCUCCCGGGCGUGCCA